rnacentral:rRNA from 1 species
AUUGAACGCUGGCGGCAGGCCUAACACAUGCAAGUCGAGCGGAUGAAGGGAGCUUGCUCCUGGAUUCAGCGGCGGACGGGUGAGUAAUGCCUAGGAAUCUGCCUGGUAGUGGGGGAUAACGUCCGGAAACGGGCGCUAAUACCGCAUACGUCCUGAGGGAGAAAGUGGGGGAUCUUCGGACCUCACGCUAUCAGAUGAGCCUAGGUCGGAUUAGCUAGUUGGUGGGGUAAAGGCCUACCAAGGCGACGAUCCGUAACUGGUCUGAGAGGAUGAUCAGUCACACUGGAACUGAGACACGGUCCAGACUCCUACGGGAGGCAGCAGUGGGGAAUAUUGGACAGUGGGCGAAAGCCUGAUCCAGCCAUGCCGCGUGUGUGAAGAAGGUCUUCGGAUUGUAAAGCACUUUAAGUGGGGAGGAAGGGCAGUAAGUUAAUACCUUGCUGUUUUGACGUUACCAACAGAAUAAGCACCGGCUAACUUCGUG